rnacentral:misc_RNA from 1 species
UGGGCUGUCAUUAUAAUCAAAGUCACGGCCAUGACGAUCCUCGAGUAGAGUGAUACAGCACAAUCUCUCAGUUCCAUAAAUAAUCACCAGCAACAUUGUGAAAAUGGUAACAAAAUUGUAAGAUGCUCUGUUAAUGCAUCAAAAAGUCGAAGAACCAGACCCACAGACAAGUAAAGCAGUAUUUGGUAUCUUCCUAAGCUCCUCAUGUCGAACAAAAACUGAAAACUUCAAAACCUAUUACUAUAAAACACCAAAUACCCCAGCCAGAAUGUCUUUUGAGAGUUGAGAUUUGCUUUCUUCCACUUUAUUUGCAACUGGUUUUGUCUGUGGGAAUUGACGGAUGACCUUCGGUGCUUGCUCACCAACAGAGAGUUGACCUCCUGACUCUUGUUGGACCUUUUGUUUCUUUUUUAAUCGUUCUUCUAUAGAACUCAAAGCACGAGAUUGAUCCACCUUAUUGAGAUAGAAAUCCCGCUCCCUCUUUGCAGCAGAAAUUUCUAGAGCUAAUUUCUGCUCCCGUAUAACACUCUUAUAUGCAAUUUCUUCUGUAAGAUCAUCCCACUUGAAUUUACUCAAGUAUUUGAUAUUCCAAAGGUCAUAAUAGAAUUGUGACCUCUUUCUGCCACCUAUUUGUUCACCAUUUAACAUAUUAGCAACCCUUUUUGCAAUGCUCUUAUUGGUAAAUUCAACCCACCCUUCAGAGAAUUCUUGACCUCGAAAUCCACCAGCUCUUUUGCGAUUUACUCGAGCAGUGGGAUCUUCAGGUGCAAGGUAGAUCCUCUGUAUUUCUCCAUAUUGGGAAAGAAUAUGACGAAGCUUUACAUGAUCCAUGUGGGGAGGGAUUCGACUUAAGUAGCAAACACCACGCUUGUCAGCCUUAGCAGCUUCCUUUAGUAACUGCUCUUU